UAAUGCCGGAUGCUCCAGUUGAUCGCAUGGUCUUCUGGGAAAGCUUUCGCGGUAUGGGAUGGGGUCGCGUCCUAUCAGCUUGACGGCGGGGUAACGGCCCACCGUGGCUUCGACGGGUAGCCGGCCUGAGAGGGCGACCGGCCACAUUGGGACUGAGAUACGGCCCAGACUCCUACGGGAGGCAGCAGUGGGGAAUAUUGCACAAUGGGCGCAAGCCUGAUGCAGCGACGCCGCGUGAGGGAUGGAGGCCUUCGGGUUGUAAACCUCUUUUAUCGGGGAGCAAGCGAGAGUGAGUUUACCCGUUGAAUAAGCACCGGCUAACUACGUGCCAGCAGCCGCGGUAAUACGUAGGGUGCAAGCGUUAUCCGGAAUUAUUGGGCGUAAAGGGCUCGUAGGCGGUUCGUCGCGUCCGGUGUGAAAGUCCAUCGCUUAACGGUGGAUCCGCGCCGGGUACGGGCGGGCUUGAGUGCGGUAGGGGAGACUGGAAUUCCCGGUGUAACGGUGGAAUGUGUAGAUAUCGGAAAAGAAC
rnacentral:rRNA from 1 species